CCUACGGGAGGCAGCAGUGAGGAAUAUUGGUCAAUGGCCGCAGGGCUGAACCAGCCAAGUCGCGUGAGGGAUGACGGUCCUAUGGAUUGUAAACCUCUUUUGUCAGGGAGCAAAGGGCGCCACGUGUGGCGCUUUGCGAGUACCUGAAGAAAAAGCAUCGGCUAACUCCGUGCCAGCAGCCGCGGUAAUACGGAGGAUGCGAGCGUUAUCCGGAUUUAUUGGGUUUAAAGGGUGCGCAGGCGGAAUGUCAAGUCAGCGGUAAAAUUUCGGGGCUCAACCCCGUCGUGCCGUUGAAACUGGCGUUCUUGAGUGAGCGAGAAGUAUGCGGAAUGCGUGGUGUAGCGGUGAAAUGCAUGGAUAUCACGCAGAACUCCGAUUGCGAAGGCGACCUGCUAGAACAUAACUGACGCUGAUGCGCGAAAGCGUGGGGAGCAAACAGGAUUAGAUACCCUGGUAGUC
rnacentral:rRNA from 1 species